rnacentral:lncRNA from 1 species
UUGUAACAAGAGCUAUUGCAAACGAUGCAAUAAAAUAUCAAAAGUUCAUCAUAUUUGCAUUAAAAAAAAAAAAAAGAAAAACUGAUCAAUGAAAUUCUGCAAACUUCCAUUUAAGUUCAACAACAGAUUUCCCAUGUCAAUUAAUACAAAAAUAUAUUAUUUAUUAAUGAGCAACGGGGGUACCUGCAGAAGAAGCAUCCACAGUUGGCCCACUUGCCUAAUUUUAUUUUCUUCUUAAGAGCUGUCACUUUUCUCCAAAGAGCAGAACUAUGCACAUGUGAUGCAUCCACGUACAAAAGAUUUUCAACCCUCUGCUAAAAUUCUCCCUCUUGGCCUUGGAUUCCUAUAAUACAACAGCCGUAGAAAU